CGCACAUUGCGCCCUUUGGCAUUCCGAAGGGCAUGCCUGUUCGAGCGUCAUUAUCCUCUCUCAAACCCCCGGGUUUGGUGUUGGACCGCGUUGGCCGCAGGGCCAACUGGUCUCAAAGACAAUGACGGCGUCCUAGGGACCCUCUUCGCACUGAGCUUUCCGGAGCACGCGCAAGAGUUUCAAGGGCCCAUGGACCCGGUCACCACCUUUAAAUUUUUUCAGGUUGACCUCGGAUCAGGUAGGAAUACCCGCUGAACUUAA
rnacentral:misc_RNA from 1 species